CUGAGGAGGAGCCAGGCUGGAUUGUAUUGUUCCGCGCUCCGCUUCUCGGGUUCUUCUACCGGCUUCAGACCUGGUGGGCUCCUCUGCGCAGAAGCGCCCACCCCUCCUGAGCCCCGAGAAGGUUCUGAGUAGGGGAGGUCUCACCUGGGUCCUUGCAUCGGAGCUGAGAGAGCGGAGGACACCGGUGGAGAGUCAUAAUCCUUGUUCCCCGCCGCACCUCGAGCCUUUGCAGGAACGAGGCGCUCUCCCACCCCCCACGAUGGCCAUUGCCUGGCCGAGCCCGGCCAGGACCACGAGCGGACGCUGGAGCGCCGCUCUCUAGCCGGGCUCAGCGCCUCUUUACCCCAGGCCAGCGAUGGGGAGCAGCGGGUCGGCUCUGAGGGUCUGUGCGGACCACCGCGGGGGCAUCAACUGGCUGAGCCUGAGCCCCGACGGGCAGCGCCUGCUGACGGGCAGCGAGGACGGCACAGCCCGCCUCUGGAGCACCGUGGACGGCCAGUGCUGCGCGCUCCUUCAAGGACAUGAGAGCUAUGUGACCUUCUGUCACCUGGAGGAUGAAGCUGCCUUCACCUGUAGUGCUGACUGCACCAUCCGGAGGUGGGAUGUGAGGACGGGGCAGUGUCUGCAGGUGUACAGAGGACACACAUCCAUUGUGAACAGGAUCCUAGUUGCCAAUGACCAGCUCUUCAGCAGUUCCUAUGAUCGGACAGCUCGUGUGUGGACUGUGGACAAAGGGCAAGUGUCCCAAGAGUUCCGGGGCCACCGUAACUGUGUACUGACACUAGCCUACUCUGCUCCCGAGGACCUGCCCCAAGAUCCCUGCAUGGAGGCAGCCAUGGGUGGUGGGCUCCUAGUGACUGGCAGCUCAGAUGACACAGCCAAAGUGUGGCAGGUAGCCAGUGGCUGCUGCCACCAGACUCUUCGGGGCCACACAGGUGCAGUGCUGUGCCUGGUGCUGCAUGUGUCCAGCCACACAGCCUUCACAGGCAGCACUGAUGCCACCGUUCGCGCUUGGGACAUCCUGAGUGGGGAGCAGCUGCGAGUUUUCCGGGAGCACCAGGGCUCUGUCAUCUGUUUGGAGCUCACAGAUCGGCUCCUGUACUCGGGCAGUGCGGACAGAACUGUCAAGUGCUGGCUAGCUGAUACUGGGGAGAGGGUGCUCACCUUUCCAGCACAUAGACACAGCGUGAGUGCCCUCAAGUACCACGCAGGCACCUGACCAGGGACCAUGACUGGAACAUCGAGGCUGACUGUGGUGAAGGGAGACGUUUGCACAGCCCUGCUGGCAGGUCAGGACAUAACCAACCCAUAGCUGCACUCCUACAAUGGCUUCCUACUCCACUGUGGUCCACAGACUGCUAUACUGCAGGGAAACCACACCACCAACUCUCUACAUCAGGUUCUUCAUUGUACAACUGGGCAGAUUUAUUAAUUUAUCAUAUGUAAGUACACUGCAGCUGUCUUCAGACACUACAGAAGAAGGAGUCAGAUCUCCUUACAGAUGGUUGUGAACUACCAUGUGGUUGCUGGGACUUGAACUCAGGACCUUCAGAAGAGCAGUCGGGAGCUCUUACCCGCUGAGCCAUCUCACCAACCCACAGCUACCUUUGAAAUAACUCCCAGAAACACAGUAUGGUGUUGAGCAAGAUCCUGAGAGGAGACUGAAGGCCACCAUGACAGGAAGCUGCCCCGGCUCUACUUCAAGCUGGCGUGAUUCUGGUAGGUGCAGCCCUGUCGUGGACAUCUGCUAACACUGGUGAAGCCCCAGGUUUCUCUCCUCCCCAGCACUACAGAAAACCAGGCACGAUGAAUACUCGUAGGUAUCGGCAAGGAGGAUCAGCAGAGCAAGGUUAUACAUGGCUUUAGAGCAAGUUUGAGGCUAACCUGGACUACGGGAGCCUGUCUCAAAAAAAGGGUCGGAGCCUCCUGGGUGCUGCAGAGAGAAUGGAAAACUCACCUCUCUGCGGUUGGAAAUGUGAGUGGCUGCAUGGUCCACGUUUCCAUCGCAGGCCCGUAGGCCCAGCCGUGCUUCCUGGGCAGUGAAUCCCAACUGUAACAAGUUGUGAACUUUUGAUGGAUCGAUGUAAAGCUCCUUAAAGAGCUGCCGUGCCUACAAACAGGAAGAAGCAGAACGCUCACCUCACAGCAGUAACAAUAAGGCUUAGCAAAGCUAAAGCCCAGGAGUGAGGCUACCAAAUGUGAACUACUGUGUGUAAGAUUCAGACAUACUGAGCUUGUCUAACCUGCCACCAUAAGGAAUGAAGCGAACACUAUCUCUGCCUGCAUAACAUAUCCAUAACUUAGCAACAAUAGGCAGGCUGAAUGCUGCAGGCAUGCCAGAGUGACUCUUUCUUUCUUUCAUUCCCAGCUUAGCUGGCAGUGGUGGUGCCUCCAGCAAUCAGGAGGCAAAGGACAUCUGGGCUAUACAGCAAAACAGGCUGCAAAUAGCAUCUAUCUCUCUCCCUUGUAGGUGGGCUGGCUGGGUGGUUGCUAGGUAACUGCAGGUGGUCUCUCUUUAUUUUGUUUUAAGAUUUAUUGUUUAUAUAUGAAUACAUGGUCGCUGUCUUCAAACACACCAGAAGAGGGCAUUGGAUCCCACUAUAGCUGGUUGUUAGCCAGCAUGUAGUUACUGAAAAUUGAACUCAGGACCUUUGGAAAUGCAGUCAGAGCUCUUAAUUGUUGAGCCAUCUCUCCAGCCCUGGCAGUCUCUUUCUGAGGCACAGGUAGGUCUGUUCUGACUCUCUAGUCCUCUCUGCUUGUGCCACACAAACCAGCAGGAACAAUGGAAGCCAAGGCCUGCAGAGCUCUACCCUGGCGUACUCAUGCUAGAGGCAGGGCAGAAACUAUUUCAAGCCACUGCCAUUUUAAAGAGUCUUCAUUACAACCCCCUGCCAGAGCCUCACAGACACAAGUGUUCAUGCUGCAUGUGAGAGAGGGGACCGGACGGAGGUGCAGGGCUCUGACACAUCCGUGAGCGUGACUCAAAGAAUACUCCACUGCCAAGGCAGAGGCAGAGGUGGGGCAGAGGCAGCAGUCGUCCUCACCUUGUUGAGAUAUUCCCGAGCUUCCUCUCCAUUUCCACUGUGAUAGUUUUGGAUUCCCUGAAGCAAGUAGAGUCUUAAAAACAACACCUUCUCUUUCCCACAAUUUCCCUGAAGUUAUUGGGAGAAAAAGAAUAAGUGGUCUUAUUUCUAAUUAAAGAGUCACAUGGUCACUGCUGUAACUGAGCCAUGUCUCCACAGCAAUAAGAUGACAAGAUAGCCCAGGGCACCACAGCUGUCACUGGGACAACUUCUAAGCAGUAUCUCUUCCACAUGGUGGGAUCAGUCAAGACACUGAGGCUAGGCACCAGAGGCCAUGACUAAGUCACUGGCUCUUUCCUGGUCAGACUGAGAGUAGCGCUCUACAAUUAGUAAACUCUUUAAGAACCACCACACACCAGGCCUGAUGGCGCACGCCUGUAAUCCCAGCACUCGGGAGGCAGAGGCAGGCGGAUUUCUGUGUUUGUGGCCAGCCUGGUCUACAAAAUGAGUUCCAGGACAGCCAGGGCUACACAGAGAAACCCUGUCUCGAAAAACAAACAAAAACAACAACAAAAAAACCACCACAGAAGCAGCAAGACUAAAUUGAGCAUGGUGAUGCAUGCUGUAACCCCAGCACUCCAGAAGCUAAAGCAAGAAGAUUAAUAAUACAGCAACAGUCUGGGCUAUAUGAGACUGUCUCAAACAAAACCAAAAAUCAAACAAACAAAAAAACCAAAAACACAACAACAAAACAGAACACAACAAAAACCCAGCCAGAUUCAUUAAACUCUCAAAACCUGCUAAAGCUCUGGCUAAUAUAAAGGAUAUAUAUGCUGCUGCUAACACUCUGGCUAGUAAAGAGGGUACUGUAUUGUAUGCUGCUGCCCAGCUCAAUCACCUCUGGCAGCAGCUCCCACAUCUAGGCAGAUGUGCCCCACAAGCAGGCUGAGACAACCAAUCACAGUGACGUACUUUUAUGUGGACCAGUCUCUGGUGAUUCUCUCCGUAACAGUUUUUAAAGCAUUUCUGGGCCAAGUUCAGCUUUUUCUCUGCAUCAUCAAGGCAUUCCAGCUGUUCCAGGCGGAAGUAACACCACACAAUGUCCAGCUGGAGGACUGCAUAGUUGUCCACAGUGUCCAGCAGCUCUUUGCACUCACUACAAGAGAAGGAAGCUGUCAUGGCAGGGCCCUUCAUGGGUCCCCAGAAAGCCUUUUAGCUCUUGGUGUGUUUCUAGGAUUAACUAAUGGGGUAUUUACAAUAGGGAUCCUCUGAAUGGAUACAGAGGAAUUAGGGUUCUUGAUAGCAACAUGGUGGCAUCUGGCCCAGGACACAGUAGCUUCUAGCCCUGGCUAUGAACUACAAUCACCCAGACACAGGAGUCCUUCUCUGGGGAUACUGAUGCUGAGACCUAAUUAGGGCGACAGUAGCAAAGCUCUCCAUGACAGAAGCUGGCUGUCCCACUGCUAAAAUCUCCCCAGGAGAUUCUAACAUGCGUAAAGGUUGACACGUGGCUUUAAAGACACCCUGAAACCUGCAACUCCCUAAAAAUGCUCCAGCUGAUGGCAGUUCUGACAAGACAUUCAGUGCGCAGGGACUUUCUCACUGGGGGAACAGUCUGGAAAACACCAGGCUAAAUGCCUAGCUGACUCCUGAGGGCCCAUGAACAGGCUGAGCCAGACACAAGGAAAACAAUGAAGACACUAUUCAUGAAUUAUUUAUUUGUACUUUGUUAUGAUACUGCUCAAUGCAUAAUGCAGACCUAGCCCUCAGAUCAAAAAGUAUCUGCGACCACAGAUACCUCCAAAGCUUUGUCCAUCUACUUUCAAUGGGAUGCUGUUAAAUAGCUUUUUUUUAAACCUUGCCUACCUAGACAUGGUCAUCCCAAAGUCUAAUGAAAUAGAUUUGUUAUCACCCACGAGGCUGCACACAGUCCAAUGGGGGCAAGAACACAGAGAACAAUGUUUUUGCAUGCUUUCAUCCCUACCUCUUCUAGCAUUCCUAUUUAGUCAUGAAUAUCUGACAACAUACAUGCCAUGUGGCUACACACACACAUACAGAGAGAGAGAGACAGAGACAGACAGACAGACAGACACAAGAUGAGGGUUGGGGGUGGGGUAGGCCCAGGGAAAGAACAUCUUCAACACAGCCUGAAAACUUGACUUGAGAAGAGGCAGAGAGGCUGUAGGUAGAAAUGUGCUCUCAUAUCAAGGGAGACUCCCUCAUCUGCAACUUGUUGACGGGUUCACCUUCUGAGAAAGGCUUAACCAUUCAUAAAGUGCAAUGGGCACUCUGCCCUGCAUUAACUUCCAAGGCCUAUGAAAAGCUCUUCCAAUACCUGCUGGACAAGCAACAAGGACAGAAAUGACCCAGAACUGAACUGUGUGUGGCCAGAACACAAAAUGAAAAUUAUAUCAAAAUCCAGGUCUCAUAUUAAAGGGGUACAUUUUACUCUUACUUUCAAAACAAAAACAAAAACAAAAACCAAACAUCAGGCCGGGCAUGGUGGUACACACCUUUAAUCUCAGGACUAAGGAGACAGAGGUAGGCAGAUCUCUGAGUUUGAGACCAACCUGGUUUGCCUAGAGUUUCAGAAUAACUAUAACUACCAGCCAGGACUCUGUCUCAAAAAAAGAAAGAAGAGAAGAGAAAGGAGGAGAGGAGAAAAGAAAGAGAAAAGAAACCAACACCUGCACACUGUAGUUUUGAAGCUGAUAGGUUUAAAUUUAAACCUGAGCAUGCCAACUGGGAAGGAAAAGUUAAAACAAAAACAAAAUAUCAAAACAAACAAAAACCCAGCAUAAAACUGUUUUAAAGAACAGCCAGGGCUACACAGCAAAACCAUUUCAAAAAACCAAAAGAAAAAAAAAAGUGUAUUUCUAUGUAAUAAUGACUUUGUUUGCAAUUUUAAAAGCUUUGCUAUUCAACAAAUUUUCAUGUUGAAACAGUUUUAAAACGAAAGCACUAAAAUUACUUCGUCUUAACACUGCUUACCAGAAUUUUUCAUUUAUUUGUGUAUGUGUGUGUUUGUGUUUUGUGUAUGUGCCCAUGCAGUAGCUAUGGAGACCAGAAGAGAGUGUUUGUUGGGGGGUGUUUCUGUGCGCUAUGUAUUUAUCUGAAUGUUACUUCUGUACUUGGAGAUAGAUACGGUUGCAGCCCAGACUUUGGUACUGCGCUUAUGAUGAAGCAUUCCUCACUCAGUAUUUUGUAAAACAUUGUUCUCCGUUAUCUCAUUGGUCAACAGGGUCAACCAGCCUGUGGCUGGGCAGGAGAGGGAAAAGUGGAACUUCUGUCCCCAGAGAGAGAGAGGGAUUCAGGUGGGCAUGGGGAGUUGCCAUGAAUGAAGCAGAUGGCAGGUAAUGUGAUGGGGCUUCGAAGUAUCCAGGCCAGCAUAGCUGGGUAGAAUGGAUCAAAAUUUGCUCAGCUGUAGUGCCUGGGGCAUUGUCCGCACCGAUACCAUUCCUAAGGUAGGAAGCAGUGUGACAACAGAUCCGGUGGCAGCACCCUGCGGGUGCCAAGCCUACAGACUAGGUGGAAAUGAGUGGGUGUCCUUCUGCACAGGCAAGGGGGCUGGUUAGAAAUACAAAGGAGGAAGCCACCACAUUCUGGUGGGUGCCUUAACUCCUGGCUCCCAGAGUUAACCACUCUGGGGUAGAAAUCAGUUGAAGUCAGGUAGGAAGGUGCUGGGGAGCCUCCCCUUACACUAGUAUCUGCUGAAUGAAUGCAAAAGCACCUACCAGAAGUAUCUGUCAGCGUCCAGGAGGCAGGGCAGGGCUAUUCCAUACUCUUUUCUUUUCAGGAAAGCUCUGCCCUUCUCGUGAUAUCCCAUAGCUAACAUAAGGGCCUAGGAAAGAGGGUAAAUUUUUAAAAAUAGUACUUUCAAACAAGUUAGUACUGCAUAUAAUAAAACAAAUUAAAGUGUAUUAGCUCUAUGGAAAAGCAAGGCAAAAAAAACCAAACACAACUCAAUCUAAAACCCAAUUAGCUAAGCUCCAUGAGAGCCUUAGCUAACUGAAGCCCUGCAGCCUUCAAGCCACGCCGCAGUCUGAGUGGCGCCAGCCCCUGCGUUCUUCAGGCUCUCCUUCCACCUGCUGAGCCACAUCUGUUUCAGUUUUCAAGACGAGACAGGUGAGCAGGCAGGAGUUCUUUUGGCCUUCCUGAGAGCACUGCAGGUGUGAUGCUGUGGGCUGUGCUCACAUUUGGGACACCGAGGAGGGAGGACAGGAUGGAGGCCAGCCUGCCCUAAGCAGCAAGACUGUCCAAGUCAGAAUGUUAAGUUCCUCAGUGCUGUUUGUGGUUUUCCUUUCAACUUGGAGUCCCUUACUUAUCUCAGUCUCCCGUCCUCCAAUUUCACAAGCAGUAUCACCACACUUCCAAAUUAUUUGACAAUGCCAGCAUUUCCUAGACAACUUUUUAAGACAUUUAUUUGUGUGUAUGUGGGUAAGCGUGUGCAUUUGUGCCAUAGCACAUAUGUAGAGGUCACCGGACAACUUUCAGGGUUCUUUUUCUACCAUGUAGGUUCCUGAAAUAGAACUUGGGUUGCUUGAUAGCAAGCGCCUUGACCUGCUCAACCAUCUUGCUGGCCGGCCCUCCAAAGCCACUUUUAAAAGGCUGCAGUGGUUUAGACUGUGUAUUAAAUGAGGGCUUGGUCCCCAGUCUCCCCGGGUGUACCACCAUGUCCAGCUUACAAGCUAACUCCAUACAGUUUAAUUAUUGUGUGUGUGCAUGUCUGUGGAUCUGGGUACAGCUUGCCACAGAGUGCAUGUGGCUGUAGGAGUGCGCCAGCGCUCUGCUCUGCUCCCACCGUGUAGGUUCUGAGGAUGAAAGCAGGUCAGCAGGCUGACAGCAAGAACCUUUACCGCUGCUCUCCCUCCAGGCCUUCAUUUUAAACAGAAUUCAUGUAGUGAGGCUUACCCCAAACUGUCAUUUAAAGGCCAAAUAGAUUACAGAAUGAAACAAAAACCCUAAAAUGAACUAGAUUCCAAGUGAGUCAGAGCUCUUCAUUCUAAGAAACAAGCACAACCCACCCACCCCAGCACCCCCAGAGAGGCGAUCCCCAGGGCAAGCCUCCCAAACCUGACUUACUUUUCUUUCUGCAGGGGGAAUUCUGAGUGACCUGCCUGUCUGGUUCGCAAUGUCUAAGUAAGGCAUCGUUUCCGGAUCAACCACCAUCUCAGCUGCAACAAAGCCACAGGAGCCUCGUUAAUUAAGGACCAAACGGCACUUGAGAUGCCAGACUGCGGAGGACUCCACAGCAGGCACACUACUUAUCUGUGUGCUGCCUGAUGCAUCUAGGGAGGUGACAAACCAAAAUGGUGUACCUCUCUCCGCCAGGAUCUCCAGUCCCCGUUUGGUCCUCUGAAUGCGUCUCUCCUUCAGCUCGGCCUCGUUCUGUUCCUCUUCCUCUAGCUGUAAGUUUUUCCUCACAUCCUCUUCAGACUGUUUCAGCUCCAGUACCAUCGCCUUCACAUUGUGAGUGACUCCUUGUUCUUCAAGGCUUUUCCCUGGGAACAGCAGAAUUGCCUGUCACAUAAACUUCCUGGGCAACAGUCCAUUUCCUGUGGUAAAUGGAGUUCUUUUUUUAAUUAAAUAAUUUAUUUAUUUUGGAA